UUGGUGUAAACGAUCAUCUAAAUCUGUUGUCAAACAAUAAGGAGGGCAAAUUCGUUGAACGAACAAAAGUGGCUGUGCAAUUGCGAAGCAGAAAUAUUCAACAUGACUAAAUUCAUUCAGCAGAUCCAGGAACAAACGUGCUUAUACGAUUUAAGCGAGCCACUAGAAUCGGAGAAAAUUGAAAAAUCCUGGAGGGAAGUGGCCAGGCAGAUGAGGUUUACGGUUAAACGAUGCCAUGAAAUCUGGCUGAAAAGGCUUGAAGAGUAUGCCGUUUAUAUUGAAGCAAAGAAAAUGCUCCCCAUCACCCCGAAGCUGGCAGAAAUGGCUUUUGUUGAAAAGGACAUUUUCCCGCUGUUGGAACGUGCCAAGAUAUUAUGUUCCGGAAAAAGGAAGAACUCGUCUAUGUCUAUCUUCUGGCUCGUGGGAGCCAUUGGAAGAUGCAGAGGAUUGCAUUAUCGUAGAACCGAUGAAACAUGAAGCGCAUGCAACACAAGCGCAGAACAUCACCUCACACCGAGAGCAACAGGUAAGCGACAUUAACCAGCAGCCAGCACCACAAAAAAGAUCACGUCGAAACGCUGUGGACGACGACAAGACGACGAUAAGUUUUGUUGAAUCCAACAAGCAACAACCGGUUGCUCUGGGUGUUUCCAGUUCCUCCAGUAAUCCUGUAAAACCAGUCAUGUGCAUCAGCACACCGAAAGCAGCUUCGGAAUCAUCAAUGCAAACACAACCUAUGAACAUUUCAACACCGGUCAAUCAGCAUUCGUUUGGCAAUCCGCAGCUACACACUUCAGACUGCUUACCUUCUCUUUCGGCUUUUGGCGUGUAUGUGGCUACAACGCUACAGAAGUUUCACGAGAAAAAAAGGAUUGCCGUUAAGGGCAAAAUUUUUAAACUACUUGAAAGUGAAGAGUUUGGAGGAUGCUAAAUUUGCCAUCAUUACCAUCGUAAGCAUGCAAUUUUAACUUAAAAGACGCUGGAUAUUUUUUUCAUAUAAUCAUAACCUCAAAUAUGAAAUCGGGGUUAGAUGUUCCUUAAAUUGUUCAAUGUACUGAUUGUAGUAAUGAGUUAUACUUCUAAAUUAUUUAAUUAUAAAUGUUCCUUAACUUGCUCAGUGCAUGUUUUAGAGCAUUAAAUUACGUUUCAAUAUAUUUAUCUUUGUUACCAUUUUGAGACAUGCUUGAGUUGGUUUGUCUUAAGUUCAUCACUAUUUGGGAUGCUGUGUCCGGCCUACUCUACUUGAUUCCCUCCUUGCCAUGACAUGCCAGCCCACCAGAGCAUGACCAGGAAAAUUUGCAGCGUAAAAGGUUUAAUGUGCCUUAUUUGUUGAGCCGAAGCUCAGUUUUAAAAACACGACACGCGUGCCAAACAGCGCUCAAACUGCAUUGUGUAAGAUAAGCGGCUUGUACAAUACAAGUGAUCAUUCUAUUCAACAUUUUAUAAAUGUAUGGAAUACACACGGGCAUAGUCAAAAAUAUAGGCUUUUCAAAGGUCUCUCGUACCACGAG